AAGACCAAAAACGUAGAAUAUUUCGAGUAUUGUUCGGUAUAUUUUAAAAAGGGCAAAAACUACGUAAAAAUGUCAGAAAAAUGAAGAAGAAGAACAGAAAUUACGUUGCUGGUCGUUGUCAAGGUGCCGAGGGGGCGGUGCUGGUGCAGCCGAACAGCUGUUUUCGUCGACUCGUGGUGGAAAAAAGGAAAAUUCCUGUGCAGAGUGGACAAUGCCGAGGGCGCGCAUCCUGGAAGGGGUGGGGUGGACAGCCGGACAGAGGUCGCCCCCCUCCCCUCGGACUCCAUACGCCGGAUCCGAGCUAUAAUCAUGGCCGGGAGCUCAGAUUCGAUUCCCACCCAGCUACGCCAGACUGCCCGAAUGUGCCGCUGCCGGUGUCCGGAAAAAAUAUCCGUGCCCAGCUUCCUGGGCCCAUUCGGGCCCGCAUCGAUGGCAAUGAGCGUGUGGAGUUGGAAGGAGUCACGGCACUGGCCUGGACCAACAGUCCGAUCAACGGAGAGUGUCGUUCCGUGGAGCUGUAUCGUCUGUCGCAGUUCACCGACAUCCGGGCCGUGUGGACACCGAAAGCAAAAGUGCGGCACAGUCGUCCAAAUUUGUUUCACAACGGCAUAGCUAGCGGCGUGUGACACGCAGUAUUCACGACGUCUGCUCGUGCCCCAAGCAUCUGAUGAUGGAGGACAAGGAGAACUACGGCGUGUAUCCGGCCAGAUAAUUUUAAGUGGCGGCAGUAGUGACAUGAACAAAGACUGUAUAUCCGACUUCUGGCGCUGUGACGAAAGGACCGCCCGGCGGAUCAGUUCAGCUGACAGUCAGCCGAGGGCAGCGACAAGGCUCUGGUCUGCGAUGGUACCACCUGUGACAAUGAGGCCGACUGCUGGAAGCGGCCAGAGGACUUUCAGUGUCCCAUCAACAAGCUUUGCAUAUCGGCCGCGCUGCUCUCCGAUGGCCGGGAACUGUACAAUUUUUUUUCAUUGCGGAGCAUGGCACCUCCUCGAAUAUUCUCGCGCUCCGAGCCAAAGAAUCUAGCUCUAAUGGUUCCAUCGAAGAAAUUAAAUAGUAAGCAGGAAGCCGUCAAGCACUCCCUUUUAAAGACUUUAAAAAUGCAAUAUAGAACCUACCUGAGGUGUAACGCGACCAAGCUGCGGAUGAAGAUGGAGCGAAAAGACUCUGGACGAGUGUGCCACUACCACAAUGCCUUCUGCAAGGACCCCAGGUCCGAAGGCGACACCAGUUUAAGAUGCGCGCUUUUCCCCAAUGAACGAAGGACAAGUUGCUCUGUAUGCCAAAAGCGGAAGAGUUUCAGCAUGAAUAGGCCAAAAUGGGAAAGUUCUUUUUCCCGGUACGCGGACAAGGAAACGAAACCCAAACAAAUAAGCACGGAAGAAGUCAAGCCCGAUGGCAACACUGAAACGCAUUCUACAUGGUUGUGGAAAAGCGAAAGUCCACCAAUAUAUUCCCUGAGGCAACUCCUGCUCUUAUGGCGAAGUUUCUAGCGUCUGGCUAUCCCGUUGAUGAAACAGCAGUCAAGUUUUUAGCGGAGAGGCAUCCGAUCCGUGUACGUCGCACCAGAUUAUGGAAAUAAUCUCAUUCCACACCACCCAAGAGGUCGAGUUUUUGGGCGGGCCCCAAAGCACCUUGCGAACAUGUGCACCUUGCAGUAUUAACAAUAAAUGUAACAUUAAUCGUCGAAUUAGUACUUCCCUUUUUCCAGGUAUUCGUCAUUAUCAUCGCUGGACCUAGGGCUUCGAGCCAACCUUCCGCAGGGGCCGCACUGGUGGAACAUCAUGGAUGAGUCGCCCCAUCAACAGCCGCCAUCGCCACAAAAUCUUUAUAAAUCCUUAUGUAACAGUCGCACUGUACUCUAGAAAAUUGCAGGGAAUAGAGUUAUAAUGUCC